GAUAUUGAACUAUAAUCCAUUCUUAGGCCUACAACCUUCAACAUCAGUUCAUGUACAACCCGUUUUACAUACAACACAGGUGUAUGAGACCAGUACACAAGAAUACAGAAUAAUAUUUAGAAAUACACCAAUAACAACUACAAUUUCAAAUACAAGAUUGGUUGAGACUGUGUUAACUUCCUACACAACUAUAACCCAAACCCUAAAUCCUGGAUAUCCACAAUUAACAAAUAUUCUGGGAUAAAUUAAAUUAAAGUUUAUUAUGUUUUCCUCAAUGUUAGUCUAAAACAAAUCCUAUUAAUAAUUAUGUUGGAGGUAUAUUUAUCCCAUAUCAUCAGUUUUCAACUUACAAGUUUUUAAAGAUAUUUUACAUAUAUUUCUUAACAUUUUUCUAUGCUUGUUAAAAUGAAAAAUCUUAUUACAAAUGUUUCCAAAAAUCUUAUAUUUGAAGUUUAAUUAUUAUUUGCAAUUUGCAAGUUCCAUUGUAAUUGUUUAAGUAGAUGUAGUAUGUUCACAUAUUACACAGAUUGGACAAAAAUGGUAACUCACAUUUUAUUUAUUUGGGGAGUGACACACGACCGCACUAAUCUAAAGGUUGCAGGCUCACACGCAAAAAUAAAUCAGAAUUUUGUUAAUUACUUAAUAAAAAAUGAAGCUAAAAAGGUUAUUUAAAGCUUAAAAUUUACAAUGUACAUGUCUGGGGGUUAUAAAGUGGGUUACAUGCAGUGUUGCAACACUUCAAAGUCGACACCUUUUCUAAUUUUUCUUAGUAUUUCAAGUUAAACUAUUUAAAAUUCCCUGACUUAAUUAAAUGAUUAACUGUCUCGUCCUAUCUGUUUAAUCUGUGUUUAUAUUGAAUUUAAUAACCCCACAGAGAGGUGUGUAUGUAACUAAGAUGCCAAAUAUUCCGCCAAAAAUGAAAAUUCUGAAUACUAAGCCAAGACCAAAAAUGACAAUUAAGCUUAUUUUUUCACAGAAGUGAAAGUACAGAGCGCCCCACAUCAUAUUGGAUUAUCUCCAAGCUUUAACGCAAAAAUACGGACAUAAUACUAGAAAAGCUUGGUAUUUUCUGCAUGCAAAUUUUUAUAUUAGGCUUAAACAAUUUCUUUUAAUGAUUCAUUCUUUUUAAAUUUCUGAAGCGCAAUUUAGAGCCAUAACGAUCUGAAAUGAUGUGGGACACCGUGUUUUUGACGAUAGCUGCUCAAAAAUUUUAAUUAUAUUUUUAUGGCUUCAGUAAAGCUUUUCAAUUUCUAAUCUGUAAAUCUUUGCAACCUGAUGAAGUUGAAAGAUUUCCAAAAUUAGGUUGCAGAGAUUUAAGAAUUAGAAAAUAAAAGUGUGUGUGUCGUUUAAUUUCUUCGUUAAGUUCACUUUUUAACAAAGAAAACUUAUGGAAUUGGGUACAUUUAAAGCUUUGAAUAAGAAUUUGAACCAAAGAAAUAUAAAAUCUAAAAAGUAGUGUUUUAGUAAUUUUUGUUAGAAUAAAUGUAAAAAUUGUCAAAGCAUAUUUCCGUCCCUUCUAUGAUCAAGAAUGUCACGAAUUCUACAGUUUUGUUAGUUAAACAAUAAUUGAUUGAUUUCAAAAUUAGCAUCAAUUGUUAAUGGGGCAUUUCUUCUUUUUCAAAUUCUUCCGAAUAUGUUUUUAAAUUUGCUAUUGUUUGAAGAAAUAAAUGUAAAAAAUGAUAUAGCAUGAUGUUUCAUUAAACUCUAUCAUAUUUAAUUUUAAAUCUUUUAACUUUAAAACA
rnacentral:lncRNA from 1 species